GCCUGUGGUCAUGUAGUGGUAAAGAGCAGGGCUCACAACCCAGAGGUUGCUGGUUCAAUUCCCGGCUGGGGCA